UACGUAGGUGGCAAGCGUUAUCCGGAUUUAUUGGGUUUAAAGGGAGCGUAGGCCGGUCUUUAAGCGUGCCGUGAAAUUUUGUGGCUCAACCAUGAGAGUGCGGCGCGAACUGGAGGCCUUGAGUGCACACAGGGGUGCCGGAAUUCAUGGUGUAGCGGUGAAAUGCUUAGAUAUCAUGAAGAACUCCGAUCGCGAAGGCAAGUGUCCGGGGUGCAACUGACGCUGAGGCUCGAAAGUGCGGGUAUCAAACAGG
rnacentral:rRNA from 1 species